rnacentral:rRNA from 1 species
GAUGAACGCUGGCGGCGUGCCUAAUACAUGCAAGUCGAACGAAACUUCUUUAUCACCGAGUGCUUGCACUCACCGAUAAAGAGUUGAGUGGCGAACGGGUGAGUAACACGUGGGCAACCUGCCCAAAAGAGGGGGAUAACACUUGGAAACAGGUGCUAAUACCGCAUAACCAUAGUUACCGCAUGGUAACUAUGUAAAAGGUGGCUAUACUACCGCUUUUGGAUGGGCCCGCGGCGCAUUAGCUAGUUGGUAGGGUAAAGGCUUACCAAGGCAAUGAUGCGUAGCCGAAUUGAGAGGUUGAUCGGCCACAUUGGGACUGAGACACGGCCCAAACUCCUACGGGAGGCAGCAGUAGGGAAUCUUCCACAAUGGGCGAAGCCUGAUGGAGCAACGCCGCGUGGGUGAAGAAGGUCUUCGGAUCGUAAAACCCUGUUGUUAGAGAAGAAAGUGCGUGAGAGUAACUGUUCACGUUUCGACGGUAUCUAACCAGAAAGCCACUGCUAACUACGUG